CCAUCAUUUCAUAAAUCACAGUUCAGGAAAUCCUCAACUAUUCAGUAUCCUCCAUUAUCGGCUAAGCAACUGAAUUUAGCCUGCUAAACCAGCAUGACAAUGGCGGGUUGAAUAAUCAAGAAGAUCCCAAUUCAUUCAAAGCUCUAACUAUCACUGAGCAACACAUGCUUCAAUGACAAUCUGAACUUCGAAUUAAUUUGUAAAACGGAAAUUCUUUAGAAACUUGAAGAUUAGAAAGAAUGGGUCAGAAUACUCGCACUUUCGAACAUUGAAAAGAAAGGUAUGAAUACUUGAAACAUAUACCAAAGGAAUGGAUCAGAAUAUUUGCAAUAUAUCCAAGAGAAAGGUUUAGGAUACUUGCAACACAUAUAGAAAAGAAUGGAUCAGAAUAUGCAAUAUAUCCAAAAGCAGGGUGUAGGAUACUUGCCUUAAAUCUGACUCCAAUCUCACAUCUCUAUCUCAUCUUUCAACUUUCACAAUCUAUGCAUCUCGUAAUCUCUAGACCAUCUCUAGUUAUACUUUAUUCGCCACAUCGCUUCGCUUACUCGAUUCAUCCCUUAUUCGCUUUGCAAUACCCUUCCGACUUUCUGACGUCUUCAAGCGUACACGUCUCGUCCAAAUCCUUUACGAGAAUAAAAUAAUACUAUAAUCACUAAUCAAUUUAUCGCAUAUGCAUAUCACGUAUAUCGAUACCCACUUAUAUAUCCCUUUACCUAUCAAAUAUCACUUAACACAUAAUCAUGCUUUGACUCUAUCAUAUAGUCAAGUCAUAUAUCACAAAUCAAUCAUAUAAUUCCUGUCGAAAUCCGACAUCGUCUCGUCUAGUUGUAGGACUAUCCAUAUGUUAUCCUAUUCUGUCCAACAACCAAUCAACCAAUUCCAACUCCUAUAAUCCAUACGUUCUUAUCCCAUAUUAAUCAAAUCAUGACACUAUGUCAUAUAAGUCAUUUAUCACAUAUGUACCAUAUUAGGAAUAACCACAUAUAUCACGUAAUCAUCAAUUCAUAACAACCAAGUCACGUAUAGUCACAUAUUGCAUAUUACAUAGCAUAUAAUCACAUUCUAGAUUCAAUCAUAUUAUCUCGUCAUAUUAGAAUAGACUUCAUGAGCUUUCAUCUCUCUUUCGUUUCACUCGAUUCCGACUUACGGAUCAAAAGAUAUGUUCAAAACAGUUUUCUCACUCUCCUAUCGGCACAUAACACAUCCAACCAAUAGCAGACAACACACAACACAUAAGGUUUCCCAUCCCAAUUGAUGUCAAAUCAACUCUUGGGUUAAAAAUGAUUUUUCGGGAAUUUUCUGGAAAUUUUUAAACAUUUUUCGGAAUUAAAAUCGAUAAAAGAAUCACUUUUCAAAUAAAUAAUCAAGUCCCAAAUACUUGAAAUUGGACUUGAAAUCAUUCCUAAACAAUUAUCGAGCCUUG
rnacentral:lncRNA from 1 species